UGAAGAUGCCGGGAAUUGAACCCGAGGCCUCUCACAUGCGAAGCGAGCUCUCUACAACAAACUAAACAAAGACAUC